rnacentral:rRNA from 1 species
GAUGAACGCUGGCGGCGUGCCUAAUACAUGCAAGUUGAGCGCUGAAGGUUGGUACUUGUACCAACUGGAUGAGCAGCGAACGGGUGAGUAACGCGUGGGGAAUCUGCCUUUGAGCGGGGGACAACAUUUGGAAACGAAUGCUAAUACCGCAUAAAAACUUUAAACACAAGUUUUAAGUUUGAAAGAUGCAAUUGCAUCACUCAAAGAUGAUCCCGCGUUGUAUUAGCUAGUUGGUGAGGUAAAGGCUCACCAAGGCGAUGAUACAUAGCCGACCUGAGAGGGUGAUCGGCCACAUUGGGACUGAGACACGGCCCAAACUCCUACGGGAGGCAGCAGUAGGGAAUCUUCGGCAAUGGACGAAAGUCUGACCGAGCAACGCCGCGUGAGUGAAGAAGGUUUUCGGAUCGUAAAACUCUGUUGGUAGAGAAGAACGUUGGUGAGAGUGGAAAGCUCAUCAAGUGACGGUAACUACCCAGAAAGGGACGGCUAACUACGUG